UAGGGAAUCUUCCGCAAUGGGCGAAAGCCUGCCGGAGCAACGCCGCGUGAGUGAUGAAGGUCUUCGGAUCGUAAAACUCUGUUAUUAGGGAAGAACAAAUGUGUAAGUAACUAUGCACGUCUUGACGGUACCUAAUCAGAAAGCCACGGCUAACUACGUGCCAGCAGCCGCGGUAAUACGUAGGUGGCAAGCGUUAUCCGGAAUUAUUGGGCGUAAAGCGCGCGUAGGCGGUUUUUUAAGUCUGAUGUGAAAGCCCACGGCUCAACCGUGGAGGGUCAUUUGAAACUGGAAAACUUGAGUGCAGAAGAGGAAAGUGGAAUUCCAUGUGUAGCGGUGAAAUGCGCAGAGAUAUGGAGGAACACCAGUGGCGAAGGCGACUUUCUGGUCUGUAACUGACGCUGAUGUGCGAAAGCGUGGGGAUCAAACAGG
rnacentral:rRNA from 1 species